rnacentral:tRNA from 1 species
GGAGACGUGGCUGAGUGGUCGAAGGCGCUGCUUUCGAAAAGCAGUAUGCUCGAAAGGGUAUCGAGGGUUCAAAUCCCUCCGUCUCCGCAA